rnacentral:lncRNA from 1 species
GGCAAAUAACUUUCAUUCCCUCUCAAUUUCUCUCGAUCUCUCUCUCAAUAUCGAGAACCAGCCCUCAAUUGUUUGAUCUGGAAACCGUCUUCUCCAUUAUUUCAAGGUAAUUGUGUGCUGUUUUUAUAAAAUUUCAUUGGAGUUGCAUAUUUCCUCAUGCCUUUUUUUUUUUUGUCCGAUUUCACUCCACCUUGUCGGAGGACGGCAUCUUAGGUAUAGUGGAGGAUGACGAGUCGAUGUCUAAGUUAACUUUUGCCAUCAGAUUUUUGCCAUUUUUGUCAUCAUUCACCAUCGAUUCUGUUCGUAUAUAUAUCAUUCACCACCAAUGAAUUUCCGUAUAUAUAUCACUUACGAAAACAUAAGUUUGAAUGUUGUGAUAAGUUAUUUUAGUGGGUAAAUGUAGUGAUAAGUUAUUUUAAUCUCGUGAUUUAUUUUGAUGCAGAUAUUUGGUGCACUCAAUUUAAUGAAAUUUAAUCAAAAUUAAGGAAGAAGAUAAGUGGAUAAUGUCUAUAUAUCAUAUAUAAUCUUUCUUACCAAAAUUCUAACAUUAUAUUAUGCAUUCUGGAUAGAUUAAUUUAGAAAAUGAACAAUAAUAUUACAUUUUCAUGCAUCACGUAGUCAUUUUUCAAUUUGUAAGAGCUUUUCUUAAUGCGUUGGUUCAACCUGUGUGAUGCAUACAUUAUAUGGUUAGUGAUAAUUAAAUAUUAUAAUCGUAGCUAAAUUACAAUUGUUGCAUUGCACUCUUGUCAUCUCUAUUCUUAAUUCAUAACCCUCUCAGUAACUAUGUGCCCAAUUAGUGCACCUCCUUUUUUAUUUGGAAUUUUUCUCAUUUCCUGGGAAAGGAAAUAGUAACAUUUCAAGAAUAUACGCUUAAUUAAUAAAUUACAACGCUUUCCUAAUUUUGAAGAAAAAAACUCGAUAAAAUCAUUCAAGGACCAGCCAGUUAACCAACAAAAUCAAGUAGUUUGUUAACCAGCGAAAUUGGCGAGUUCACAAUGAAAAUUAGUUAGUUACAAAACUGGCCGGUACACCCCCAGAACUGGUCAUUACAGUUGGAUACCACCUAAUUUUGUUGGGGCAGGCUUAAUUUUGUACCAGAAUUCAGUCUAAAGAUGUACACCUAGAGUUGAGUUACCAGGCAUUUGAUCAAACUGAGAAUUCGUAAUAAAGUGUAAAGAUUUUUUUCUGCUAUACUUUCUUGUCAAUGUUUUAAAAACCGACCCCCCAACCAAAAAUAAGUUAGGGAUGAAUCUUGAGUCUGGUGGUGGUCGUAGAUGUGAGUUAGGGAUGAAUCUUGAGUCUCCGUCGAGUUGCCUCCAAAAAAAUCCUCAAGUUUAGGCUGUGGCUGCAUGUUUUGGUGCAUAUAUGGGUCCAUGUAGCUAGUGAAAUUGAUGGAGUUGUUUUCUUUCAGUUUAAAGCUUAUAUUAGGUAAUUUUAGCUCAUUAAUGUAUUUCCUCAUAUCAGAAUAAAAUAAAAGCAUAUUCAGAGACGAUUUCCUCUCCAAGCAAACACUCACUUGAAGGUGAUAGUGUUGCAAAAGUACUUGGUCCAGAACGUCCAGGACGGGUAAGAGGUCAUGGUUUCGGUGCGACUCCUUCAAAGUUGAAUGCUUUGGUGCACAAUCAUAACUUGCAAACUCAAGUUCAAGAGUUGAGGGAUGAAAUUAAAGAACUAAAAGCUUUGUUUCAAGUGAAGAGUAAAAGUGCUGAACAAGAAGAUAAUGUAAGUGGAAAUCUAGAAUCAAUGAAUGUUAUUUUAAAUUACAUAUAUUUUCUAUAUUCAAAAUAAUAAAUUGUACAACUGGAUAUUAAUUUUAUAGUCUAGAGACAGAAGCUUGAAUGGUUUAGAUAACCUUCAAAAUAAGAAGUGCAAAUUGUUAUCUUGGUUUAGGAAAGCUAAUAUUGUUGCAAAAGGUGAAAUUGCAUCAACAAAUUCAAAUGAUCUACUGCAUCAUGUACCCCUUGGUAAUGAAUGUUGGAGAGUUUGGGUUAAUGAAGUGAUCAAUAAUGUUAGCUUAUAUCGUCCCACGCGUGAGCUUUUUCUUCUAGAAGAUGCAUUAGGAAGUACAAUUGCAUGGCCAAGUAGGUAUAUCGAAGUGGAUUCGCUGUAAUCACAACGAAGGUAUGCUUAACUUCUUUUCUAUUUUAAUUCCAUUUCCCUUUAUGUUCGGUCUCUAUUGAAGAUUGUGUUGUUUAAUAUAUUUUUGAUUUGGAUGCUUAUUAAUUAUAUCCUUAUUAUUUUCGUGGUGUGCAGAGGAUCCAUAUUUUGUGGGGUAGCUAAAUUGUCGGUCAAAGAAGUGAACUUUGAUAGGUUUAAUAAUUUUUUGUUAUAUGACGGAACCUCAAUAUCCACGGGUUUAUUAGUUGAAUGGCGAUUGGCGCAUACAAUAGUAGUCGAAUAUUUUUUAAAAUUGUUUAGAUGAAUUUUACAUUGGCAUAUUGUAUUGAACCGUAGUCAAUAUUUCUUUUUAUCGAAAUAAUGGAAAACUUGAUUAUAU